rnacentral:lncRNA from 1 species
CGUUCACAAGCAGAUGCAAGGCCAUCAUUGGUUCUCUCACCUAACAGUUAUGAGGUCCAACCCCAUCCUUACUCUAGAGCAACUCUUUGCUAAUAGAGUGGUUGCAUGUUCCCGAUGUAACUGAACCACUAUGACCAGUUGAGAACAUUCAAUGCCAGUAGCACUCCACACAUCUACAAUGGUGGAAAACCUAUAGACU